rnacentral:tRNA from 1 species
GGGCCUAUGGUUCAGUGGUAGAACGCUACGUUUGCAACGUAGAAACGGCAGUUCGAUUCUGCCUAGGUCCA